GGGGAUGCCGAGAUUUGACGGCCACUUCUUUCACACUAAGCAAGCCGAGCCGAAUCAGCUCGCCAAAAAGAUUCAAAUCAGACAACUGCCAACGUCUUAACUAAGGUGAAGGACGCGUUCGCUUCGGCGCUGCGCGUUUCCUCGCCUGCAAUGGCGCUCGCGUAAUUUACGCGUUAACCCCGAUUCGGGGCGCCACGAUCCUCUGUUUUUGCGGCCCGACAAAUCAGAAGCGAUCGUCAUUCUUCGGGCUUACGGUUUAAACGCUUUUGCGCUAAACUGGACGAAUCGAUGCGAUCAUAUGCCGCCAUCGAUCGACAAGGCCGCAUGUGUAAGCGAAAGGGCCUCGCCGGCUCGUACACCUUUCGCCGACAAUUUCUGAGCCUGCCAAGCUUGUGGAUGAUUAUUGCGUCUGAAUGGUUCGGACGGGGGUGCAACUCCC
rnacentral:tmRNA from 1 species